rnacentral:tRNA from 2 species
UCCUCGGUAGCUCAGUGGUAGAGCGGUCGACUGUUAAUCGAUUGGUCGCAAGUUCGAAUCUUGCCCGGGGAG